GACGAACGCUGGCGGCGUGCCUAAUACAUGCAAGUCGAGCGAAUCUUUUGGGAGCUUGCUCCCAAAAGAUUAGCGGCGGACGGGUGAGUAACACGUGGGCAACCUGCCUAUAAGACUGGGAUAACUUCGGGAAACCGGAGCUAAUACCGGAUACGUUCUUUUCUCGCAUGAGAGAAGAUGGAAAGACGGCUUCUAGCUGUCACUUAUAGAUGGGCCCGCGGCGCAUUAGCUAGUUGGUGGGGUAAUGGCUCACCAAGGCGACGAUGCGUAGCCGGCCUGAGAGGGUGAUCGGCCAGACUGGGACUGAGACACGGCCCAGACUCCUACGGGAGGCAGCAGUAGGGAAUCUUCCGCAAUGGACGAAAGUCUGACGGAGCAACGCCGCGUGAACGAAGAAGGCCUUCGGGUCGUAAAGUUCUGUUGUUAGGGAAGAACAAGUACCAGAGUAACUGCUGGUACCUUGACGGUACCUAACCAGAAAGCCACGGCUAACUUCGUGCCAGCAGCCGCGGUAACAC
rnacentral:rRNA from 1 species